rnacentral:rRNA from 1 species
CNGGNUUGANCCUGCCNGUAGUCAUAUGCUUGUCUCAANGAUUAAGCCAUGCACGUGUAAGUACACACUCUUGAACAGUGAAACUGCGAAUGGCUCAUUAAAUCAUAUGUGAUUUCUUAGAUCGUAUAUCGGCGGCUUCACAGCUGUCGGGUUUGGAUAACUGUGGUGAUUCUAGAGCUAAUACAUGCAAUCGAGCUCAGACCCGGAGACGGGGACGAGCGCUCUUAUUAGACCAAGGCCAAACUGGUUGCUCGCGAGGGCGGCCAGUCGCUGGUGGUGACUCUGAAUAAACCUAGUUGAUCGCAAUACGGCCGCAAGGCCAGCGACGUAUCUUUCAAGCGUAUGCCCUAUCAUGUAGUCGGUAAGGUAGCGGCUUACCGAGCAGACAAUGGGUAACGGGGAAUCAGGGUUCGAUUCCGGAGAGGGGGCAUGAGAAAUGGCCACCACAUCCAAGGAAGGCAGCAGGCGCGCAAAUUACCCAAUCCCGAAACGGGGAGGUAGUGACGAAAAAUAACAAUACGGGACUCUUUCGAGGCCCCGUAAUUGGAAUGAGCACAAUUUAAAUCCUUUAGCGAGGAUCUAUUGGAGGGCAAGUCUGGUGCCAGCAGCCGCGGUAAUUCCAGCUCCAAUAGCGUAUAUUAAAGUUGCUGCAGUUAAAAAGCUCGUAGUUGGAUCUCGGGUUCACGCAGAGCGGGCUGGUCGUGUUCGCGCACGUACUGCCCGCUCGACCCAACAAGCCGAUUCCCGGCCCUGGUGGUGUGCGGUCGCGAGGCUGGUUCGCUGCUGGGAGGGACGCUGCGCUGCUUGUGCCUUUAAUCGGGUGCUUGUGGCGGUCGGUGCGUUUACCUUGAACAANUUGGAGUGCUCAAGGCARGUUACGUUAUGCUCGAACAGUUGUGCAUGGG